CCUACGUGGGACAGCAGUAGGGAAUCUUCCACAAUGGGCGAAAGCCUGAUGGAGCAACGCAGCGUGGGUGAAGAAGGUCUUCGGAUCGUAAAACCCUGUUGUUAGAGAAGAAAGUGCGUGAGAGUAACUGUUCACGUUUCGACGGUAUCUAACCAGAAAGCCACGGCUAACUACGUGCCAGCAGCCGCGGUAAUACGUAGGUGGCAAGCGUUAUCCGGAUUUAUUGGGCGUAAAGGGAACGCAGGCGGUCUUUUAAGUCUGAUGUGAAAGCCUUCGGCUUAACCGGAGUAGUGCAUUGGAAACUGGGAGACUUGAGUGCAGAAGAGGAGAGUGGAACUCGAUGUGUAGCGGUGAAAUGCGUAGAUAUAUGGAAGAACACCAGUGGCGAAAGCGGCUCUCUAGUCUGUAACUGACGCUGAGGUUCGAAAGCGUGGGUAGCAAACAGGAGUAGAUACCCGAGUAGUC
rnacentral:rRNA from 1 species